rnacentral:rRNA from 1 species
AUUGAACGCUGGCGGCAUGCCUUACUCAUGCAAGUCGAACGGCAGCACGGGAGCAAUCCUGGUGGCGAGUGGCGAACGGGUGAGUAAAGUAUCGGAACGUGCCCAGUCGUGGGGGAUAACGUAGCGAAAGUUACGCUAGUACCGCAUACGAUCUAUGGAUGAAAGCGGGGGAUCGCAAGACCUCGCGCGAUUGGAGCGGCCGAUAUCAGAUUAGGUAGUUGGUGGGGUAAAGGCCCACCAAGCCGACGAUCUGUAGCUGGUCUGAGAGGACGACCAGCCACACUGGGACUGAGACACGGCCCAGACUCCUACGGGAGGCAGCAGUGGGGAAUUUUGGACAAUGGGCGAAAGCCUGAUCCAGCCAUGCCGCGUGCAGGAUGAAGGCCUUCGGGUUGUAAACUGCUUUUGUACGGAACGAAAAGGACUGCCCUAAUACGGUGGUCCCAUGACGGUACCGUAAGAAUAAGCACCGGCUAACUACGUGCCAGCCGCCGCUGUAA